rnacentral:rRNA from 1 species
UACGUAGGGGGCUAGCGUUGUCCGGAAUCAUUGGGCGUAAAGCGCGUGUAGGCGGUUCGGUAAGUCCGCUGUGAAAGUCGAGGGCUCAACCCUCGAAUGCCGGUGGAUACUGUCGGGCUAGAGUGCGGAAGAGGCGAGUGGAAUUCCUGGUGUAGCGGUGAAAUGCGCAGAUAUCAGGAGGAACACCUAUUGCGAAGGCAGCUCGCUGGGACGUUACUGACGCUGAGACGCGAAAGCGUGGGGAGCGAACAGG